UAAGCAUAUCAAUAAGCGGAGGAAAAGAAACCAACCGGGAUUGCCUUAGUAACGGCGAGUGAAGCGGCAAAAGCUCAAAUUUGAAAUCUGGCGUCUUCGACGUCCGAGUUGUAAUUUGAAGAAGGCAACUUUGUAGCUGGUCCUUGUCUAUGUUCCUUGGAACAGGACGUCAUAGAGGGUGAGAAUCCCGUGUGGCGAGGAUCCCAGUUAUUUGUAAAGUGCUUUCGACGAGUCGAGUUGUUUGGGAAUGCAGCUCUAAGUGGGUGGUAAAUUCCAUCUAAAGCUAAAUAUUGGCGAGAGACCGAUAGCGAACAAGUACAGUGAUGGAAAGAUGAAAAGAACUUUGAAAAGAGAGUGAAAAAGUACGUGAAAUUGUUGAAAGGGAAGGGCAUUUGAUCAGACAUGGCGUUUGCUUCGGCUUUCGCUGGGCCAGCAUCAGUUUUAGCGGUUGGAUAAAUCCUCGGGAAUGUGGCUCUGCUUCGGUAGAGUGUUAUAGCCCGUGGGAAUACAGCCAGCUGGGACUGAGGAUUGCGACUUUUGUCAAGGAUGCUGGCGUAAUGGUUAAAUGCCGCCCGUCUUGAAACACGGACCAAGGAGUCUAACGUCUAUGCGAGUGUUUGGGUGUAAAACCCGUACGCGUAAUGAAAGUGAACGUAGGUGAGGGCCCGCAAGGGUGCAUCAUCGACCGAUCCUGAUGUCUUCGGAUGGAUUUGAGUAAGAGCAUAGCUGUUGGGACCCGAAAGAUGGUGAACUAUGCCUGAAUAGGGUGAAGCCAGAGGAAACUCUGGUGGAGGCUCGUAGCGGUUCUGACGUGCAAAUCGAUCGUCGAAUUUGGGUAUAGGGGCGAAAGACUAAUCGAACCAUCUAGUAGCUGGUUCCUGCCGAA
rnacentral:rRNA from 1 species